rnacentral:tRNA from 1 species
AGUCUUAUAUUCAAAAUGAUAUAAAAUUGCAAAUUUUAAGGUGUAUUUAAAUACUAAGGCUU